UGAUAAUAUUAAAUUAUAGUUUUAAAUAAAAAAAAUGUAUAUAAUGGAUGUCUUGGUAACUAUAGGCGAUGACAGACGCUAAAAUGCGAUAAUCUAAUUUUUAGGUUUCUUAAUAGGGUAACCUACUACUAAAAAUAGUGUUUUUUUUAUUAAAAAAAAAAAAAGCAAACUGGAUGAACUGAAACAUCUAAGUAAUCCAAGGAAAAGAAAUCAAAUGAGAUUCUCGAAGUAGUGGCGAGCGAAAUGAGAUUAGCCCAAAAAAAAAAUAUAAAAAAUAUAAAAAAAUUUUGAAUAAUUUACAAAAAAAGUAAUAGUCUUUUUUAUUAUUUUUUAUUUUUAAUUAUGAGUAUGUUUAGACACGUGAAAUCUUAACAGAAUAAAGGGGGACCAUCCUCUAAGGCUAAAUACUAAUAGUUAACCGAUAGUGAACUAGUACCGUGAGGGAAAGAUGAAAUAGAACCUUUAAAUAGGAGUGAAAUAGAACCUGAAAUUAUAUACAUAAUAGCAAUAGAAGCUGAAAAGUAACUAUAUACCUUUUGUAUAAUGGGUCAGCGAGUUAUUUUUUAUAGCAAGCUUAACAAAGGUAGGCAAAGAGAAAUCAAGUCUGAAAGGGCGAAAGUUAUAAAAAAUAGACCCGAAACCGAGCGAUCUAUCCAUGAACAGGUUGAAAGUAAUAUAAUAAUUACUGGAGGACCGAACUGGUUUCUGUUGCAAAAGAUUCAGAUGAUUUGUGGAUAGGGGUGAAAGGCUAAUCAAGCUCGGAGAUAGCUGGUUCUCCUCGAAAGCUAUUUAGGUAGCGUCUUAUAAGUAAAAAAUAAUGGUAAAGCACUGUAUUGAUUAGGAAUAUGAUUCUGAAUCAUAACAAACUAUGAAUAUUAUUUUUUUUAUUAUAGGAAACACACAAUGGGUGAUAACAUCCAUUGUGGAAAGGGAAACAACCCAGAUCAUUAAUUAAGGUCCCUAAAUCUUAUUUAAGUGGAAAACGAACUUAAAAAUCUUUGACAAUCAAAAGGUGGGCUUAGAAGCAGCCAUCCUUUAAAGAAAGCGUAAUAGCUCAUUGAUAUAGAUGUUUAAUUCGAAAAAUUUAACGGGGCUAAAAUAAGUACCGAAAUUAUGAACAUUAUUUUUGUGGUAGAGGAGCGUUGUGUAAAUCAAAGAAGGUUUGUUUAUAAAUAAACUGGAGAUAUCACAAGUGCGAAUGCUGACAUAAGUAACAAUAUAAAGUGUGAAAAUCACUUUCGCCGAAAAAUUAAGGUUUUCUAUUCAACGAUGAUCGAAAUAGAGUUAGUCGUAACCUAAAAUAAGGUUGAAAAACAUAAUUGAUGGGAAAAAGAUUAAUAUUUCUUUACCAUUAAUACUUGCGAAGGAAUGCAUCAAAUUGUUUUUUGAUUCUAAUAAAGGAAAAUUAGAUUAUUUUCAAAAGAAUUUAUAAUCAAGUAAAUCUAAUUAUAAUAUUUAAUUGAUAAAAAUAAAAUCAAUAAAAUUAUGUUGACAAGAAAAAUUUCUAGCAUAAAAGUAUUAAUGUACGUACCGUAAUCCGACACAGGUAAUUAAGUAGAGUAUACUAAGGCGUGUGAGAUAAUCUAAGUGAAGGAACUAGGCAAAAUAGUAUCGUAACUUAUGAAGAAGAUACGCUAGAAUAUUUAUAUUAUUAAUAUAAAGAACUAGCCUAAGAGGUAAGGUGGCUGCAACUGUUUAUUAAAAACACAGCACUCUGCUAACGUGUAAACGGAUGUAUAGGGUGUGACGCCUGCCCGGUGCUGGUAGGUUAAUUGAAAAUGUUAAUGUAAAAAUAAAGCAUUUAAUAAAAGCCCCAGUAAACGGCGGCCGUAACUAUAACGGUCCAAAGGUAGCGAAAUUCCUUGUCGGGUAAGUUCCGACCUGCACGAAUGGCGUAAUGAUGGCCACGCUGUCUCCAUUUAGAACUCAGUGAAAUUGAAUUUGCUGUGAAGAUGCAGUGUAUCUACGGCUAGACGGAAAGACCCCGUGAACCUUUACUAUAACUUCACAUAGAAUAUUGGUAAUUUUUGUGUAGGAUAGCUGGGAGAUUUUGAUCUCUAAAUCCAAGUUUAGAAGUAGUCAACCUUGAAAUACCAGUCUAAAAUUUUUGAUAUUCUUAUAUAAUUUGUAAACCAUUUUAUAAAAAAUGUGUAGCGGGUAGUUUGACUGGGGCGGUCUCCUCCUAAAAAGUAACGGAGGAGUACAAAGGUACUCUCAAUACGUUUGGAAAUCGUAUGUUGAGCAUAAGAGCAUAUGAGUGCUUAACUGUAAGAUAGACAUAUCAAACAGAUACGAAAGUAGGUUCUAGUGAUCCGAUAUUCCCUUAUGGAAAGGAUAUCGCUCAACGAAUAAAAGGUACUCCGGGGAUAACAGGCUAAUACUGCCCAAGAGUUCAUAUCGACGGCAGUGUUUGGCACCUCGAUGUCGGCUCAUCACAUCCUGGGGCUGGAGUUGGUCCCAAGGGUAUGGCUGUU
rnacentral:rRNA from 1 species